rnacentral:rRNA from 1 species
GAUUGAACGCUGGCGGCAUGCCUUACACAUGCAAGUCGAACGGCAGCACGGGGGCAACCCUGGUGGCGAGUGGCGAACGGGUGAGUAAUGCAUCGGAACGUGCCCAGUAGUGGGGGAUAACUAGUCGAAGAUUAGCUAAUACCGCAUACGACCUAUGGGUGAAAGCGGGGGAUUCGCAAGAACCUCGCGCUAUCGGAGCGGCCGAUGUCUGAUUAGCUAGUUGGCGGGGUAAAGGCCCACCAAGGCUUCGAUCAGUAGCUGGUCUGAGAGGACGACCAGCCACACUGGGACUGAGACACGGCCCAGACUCCUACGGGAGGCAGCAGUGGGGAAUUUUGGACAAUGGGCGCAAGCCUGAUCCAGCCAUGCCGCGUGCGGGAAGAAGG